rnacentral:RNase_P_RNA from 1 species
UGAGCAGGCCACCUUGUCGCUGCCAUCCGAAUUAUUUCGGGUGGGAGAGGAAAGUCCGGACACCACAGUGCGGCAUAGCGGGUAACGCCCGUCGUCCGUUUUUUUGACGGAUAGGACAAGUGCAGCAGAAAGAAUGUACAGGUAAGGCUGUAGUGAAAUCAGGUAAACUCUAUGCGGUGAAACGCCAUGUAUAUCGGUGUUUGAGGGUUGCACGCCCAAGCCGAAGGGUAGGCGGUUCGAUUCCAGCAGCAAUGUUGGAACUAGAUAAAUGACAGGGAAGGGCCUUCGGGCCUUACAGAAUCCGGCUUAUGGCCUGCUUAUUUU